rnacentral:rRNA from 1 species
UGCCUAAUGCAUGCAAGUCGAACGCAGCAGGCGCGCCUGGCUGCGUGGCGAACGGCUGAGGAACACGUGGGUCACCUGCCCCGGAGUGGGGGAUACCCCGUCGAAAGACGGGACAAUCCCGCAUACGCUCUAUGGAGGAAAGCCGCAAGGCGCUCUGGGAGGGGCCUGCGGCCCAUCAGGUAGUUGGUGUGGUAACGGCGCACCAAGCCAAUGACGGGUACCCGGUCUGAGAGGACGACCGGGCAGACUGGGACUGAGACACGGCCCAGACUCCUACGGGAGGCAGCAGCAAGGAAUUUUCCCCAAUGGGCGCAAGCCUGAGGGAGCAACGCCGCGUGGAGGACGACGGCCUUCGGGUUGUAAACUCCUUUCGGGUGGGACGAUGCUGACGGUACCACCAGAAGCAGCCCCGGCUAACUCUGUGCCAGCAGCCGCGGUAAGACAGAGGGGGCAAGCGUUGUCCGGAGUUACUGGGCGUAAAGGGCGCGCAGGCGGUGGGCUGCGUCGGCGCUGAAAGCGCCCCGCUUAACGGGGCGAGGCGCGCCGAUACGAGUCCACUCGAGGCAAGCAGAGGGUGGCGGAAUUCCGGGUGGAGCGGUGAAAUGCGUAGAGAUCCGGAGGAACGCCGGUGGGGAAGCCGGCCACCUGGGCUUGACCUGACGCUGCGGCGCGACAGCGUGGGGAGCAAACCGGAUUAGAUACCCGGGUAGUCCACGCCGUAAACG